AACCUCGAAGUACUCUGAGGCUUGUAGGAGGGUAAAAUAGAGACCCAGUAAAAUUGUAAUAAGCAGUGCUUGAAUUAUUUGGUUUCGGUUGUUUUCUAUUAGACUAUGGUGAGCUCAGGUGAUUGAUACCCCUGAUGCGAGUAAUACGGAUGUGUUUAGGAGUGGGACUUCUAGGGGAUUUAGCGGGGUGAUGCCUGUUGGGGGCCAGUGUCCCCCUAGUUGGGGGGUGGGAGCUAGGCUGGAGUGGUAAAAGGCUCAGAAAAAUCCUGCGAAGAAAAAAACUUCUGAGGUAAUAAAUAGGAUUAUCCCGUAUCGAAGGCCUUUCUGGACAGGUGGUGUGUGGUGGCCUUGGUAUGUGCUUUCUCGUGUUACAUCGCGCCAUCAUUGGUAUAUGGUUAGUGUGUUGGUUAGUAGGCCUAGUAUGAGGAGGGUUGUGGAGUGGAAGUGAAAUCACAUGGCUAGGCCGGAGGUCAUUAGGAGGGCUGAGAGGGCCCCUGUUAGGGGCCAUGGGCUGGGUUUUACUAUAUGAUAGGCAUGUGAUUGGUGGGUCAUUAUGUGUUGUCGUGCAGGUAGAGGCUUACUAGAAGUGUAAAAACGUAGGCUUGGAUUAAGGCGACAGCGAUUUCUAGGAUAGUCAGUAGAAUUAGAAUUGUGAAGAUGAUAAGUGUAGAGGGAAGCUUAUGUUGUUUAUGCGGGGAAACGCCAUAUCGGGGGCACCGAUUAUUAGGGGAACUAGUCAGUUGCCAAAGCCUCCGAUUAUGAUGGGUAUUACUAUGAAGAAGAUUAUUACAAAUGCAUGGGCUGUGACGAUAACGUUGUAGAUGUGGUCGUUACCUAGAAGGUUGCCUGGCUGGCCCAGUUCGGCUCGAAUAAGGAGGCUUAGAGCUGUGCCUAGGACUCCAGCUCAUGCGCCGAAUAAUAGGUAUAGUGUUCCAAUGUCUUUGUGGUUUGUAGAGAAUAGUCAACGGUCGGCGAACAUCAGUGGGGGUGAGGUAAAAUGGCUGAGUGAAGCAUUGGACUGUAAAUCUAAAGACAGGGGUUAAGCCUCUUUUUACCAGCUCUGAGGUGAUUUUCAUAUUGAAUUGCAAAUUCGAAGAAGCAGCUUCAAACCUGCCGGGGCUUCUCCCGCCUUUUUUCCCGGCGGCGGGAGAAGUAGAUUGAAGCCAGUUGAUUAGGGUGCUUAGCUGUUAACUAAGUGUUUGUGGGUUUAAGUCCCAUUGGUCUAGUAAGGGCUUAGCUUAAUUAAAGUGGCUGAUUUGCGUUCAGUUGAUGCAGAGUGGGGUUUUGCAGUCCUUAGC
rnacentral:lncRNA from 1 species